AAAGGUUGAUUGGUCGAUUGGUGGGGCAUUUCCCAGUUGUUACAGCAUUCAUUUAGCAUUCUGGGCAGCAAUCACAAGAGGACUCCGAGAAAGGAAGCUUGCAAAAUCUGUGAAAGGGAACUUUGGAAUCAAAAAGGGAGCAACGAAUUCUGAAAGGGGCUUGUUGCUGCUUCAAUGCUGUAGCAUCACCGUAGCAUCGGGCAGAGCCAGGAAGGAAGCGUGACAACUGCGAGCUGGACUUAAUGAGGCAUAAGUGGCGCUGAGAUGGCAAGAGUAUUGUACAAUUAAGUCAGCUGGGUGAUGUGGCACGUGGAGGACAAGGUGGGAAUUGACUUUCCUAUUAGGGUAAAGCAAAGUACCCUAAAGAAAGGGGGUACCAGCCGAAAUAGGGAGCAGCCCCCAUUCUUGGAGACAGCUGAUUUUCUUAGACCAUUUUUGAGAGAAAACAGAAGAAAAGAAAAAAAAAACAGAGAGAGUACAGAGGAGGAAGAGGACCACGAGCUGACAACGAGGGGGAUUGAGCACAGCAAUUCCUUCUAACUUCUUCUUCUCCCUUCUUCAUUUUGUAUUGUAUUUUCUCUCUAUCUAAUUUGUGAACAAACUCCAUGGAUUUGCUAAUGGCUACUGGUUUUGUAUUUUUAUUAUUAAACAUGAACUAAUCUUUAGAGGUUUGGGUGGUUAUGAACCCUUAUGUAUGAACUAAAUUUCUAAAAUGCAUGGUUAAUUUGU